AUGUCUCUCCGCCCGCUCCCGCAGCGGCUCCGGCGCUCCGGCGGGGUCUCGGGCUGCUGCUGCGCUCGCGGGGCCGGCCCCGGGACGCGCGGCGGCGGCGGCGGCCCGGCUGCAGGAGGCGGAGGCGGCGGCGGCGGCGGCGGCGGCGGCGGCGGCGGCGCGUCCUCCCCGCGGGCAGAGCCGGCCCCGAGCGGCGCUUCGCAGGCCCCCGCGCGAUCGCCGCCGACCGCCGCGUUCGGUCGCCGAGUGUUACCCGGUUCUGAAUGUUACACUUACACAUUCCAUUCCCGACACGACAGCGCUGACCUCAUCCAUCCACGCAGCCCGCGCUGCCAUUGGCUGAGCGUCACGUCCGGGGGGGGCGGUGCUUCCGCUGCGCCCAUUCAUAACCCCCGGCCGCGGGCCCAGGCGCCGGCGCGGGGGCGCGGGGGGCGCGGGGGGCGCGGGGCGCGGGCGGGCGGAGCGCGGGGCGCGGGGAGCCGGGGCGGGCGGGGACCCGGACCCGGGCCCGGGCCGCCUGCCGCCUGCCGCCUGCCGCCGCGCCGGGAGCCAGAGGCGAGGGCUCCCAGGGCAACCCCGGCUCCGCGGCCGCCGCCGUGCGCGGGCUCCCCGGGAGGGCGGCGCGGACCACGGACCGCACACCCCGAGCCGGCCGCCCCCGCCCCGCCCAGGACCAGGGCUCUCGCUUCCCACCGAGCCUUGAAACAGGUCCCGUAUUCCCCCCCGCAAAGCGCAGCCUUGUUUUUCUUUUUUUUCCUCCGCCCUCCCCCCAAGGACACGCCCCAGUGCCCCCCCCCCCCAUCCCCAGAUAAAGAGGAAAUACUACGAUCGAGUGGCGAUCCCUCGGGUCUGUCUCUGUGCCGGGAGAGGACCUGGAAUCGAAUCCUCCCGCCCACGCGCACACCCUCUCCUGGCUCCCUGCAGCCCUUCGUCUGUCGUGCAGAAAGCUCCCGAAGUCAGCCACUCCUGGGGGGAGGGGGCAGGAGGGGAGAUUCUCUUUUCUUUUUUUUUUUAUUUUUUUUUAUUGGAGUUCAAUUUGCCAACAUAUAG
rnacentral:lncRNA from 12 species